rnacentral:rRNA from 1 species
UAGAGUUUGAUCCUGGCUCAGAUUGAACGCUGGCGGAAUGCUUUACACAUGCAAGUCGAACGGCAGCACGGGAGCUUGCUCCUGGUGGCGAGUGGCGAACGGGUGAGUAAUGCGUCGGAACGUACCGAGUAAUGGGGGAUAACGCAGCGAAAGCUGUGCUAAUACCGCAUACGCCCUGAGGGGGAAAGUGGGGGAUCGCAAGACCUCACGUUAUUCGAGCGGCCGACGUCUGAUUAGCUAGUUGGUGGGGUAAUGGCCUACCAAGGCGACGAUCAGUAGCGGGUCUGAGAGGAUGAUCCGCCACACUGGAACUGAGACACGGUCCAGACUCCUACGGGAGGCAGCAGUGGGGAAUUUUGGACAAUGGGGGCAACCCUGAUCCAGCCAUUCCGCGUGAGUGAAGAAGG